rnacentral:rRNA from 1 species
GUUNCACGAGGUGUCGNCNGNCCCCCUUUAUUUGAUUUAAAAAUUNAACUUUUGGGUNAANAGGCUGAAAUUUUANUGGUAGACGAGAAGACCCUAUAGAGCUUUAUAUUUAUUUAUUUAAUUAUAUUUAUAUAAUUUGNGAUUAUUUAAAAAAAUAUUNUUUUGGGGGGACCAAAAUAUAUAANUAACUUUNUUAUUUAUUAUACAUUGAUUUAUGAUUUUUAGAUCCAUUAUUAUUGAUUGAUAGAUUAAGUUACCUUAGGGAUAACAGCGUAAUCCUCCCCCANAGUUCAUAUUUACGGGUAGGGCUUGCGACCUCNANGUUGGAUUAAGAUNAUACUUAGGUGUAGCCGCUUAAGGUAUAGGUCUGUUCGACCUUUAAAUUCNGACAUGAUCUGAG